rnacentral:rRNA from 1 species
UAGGGAAUCUUCCGCAAUGGACGAAAGUCCGACGGAGCAACGCCGCGUGAGUGAAGAAGGAUUUCGGUUCGUAAAACUCUGUUGUUAGGGAAGAAAAAAUGUAUAGUAACUAUAUACAAAAGAGACGGUACCUAACCAGAAAGCCACGGCUAACUACGUGCCAGCAGCCGCGGUAUUACGUAGGUGGCAAGCGUUGUCCGGAAUUAUUGGGCGUAAAGCGCGCGCAGGUGGUUUAGAAAGUCUGAUGUGAAAGCCCACGGCUCAACCGUGGAGGGUCAUUGGAAACUAAUAAACUUGAGUGCAGGAGAGAAAAGUGGAAUUCCUAGUGUAGCGGUGAAAUGCGUAGAGAUUAGGAGGAACACCGGUGGCGAAAGCGGCUUUUUGGCCUGCAACUGACACUGAGGCGCGAAAGCGUGGGGAGCAAACAGG